rnacentral:lncRNA from 1 species
AUGAGGCUCUUUCAUUUUGACUUCAAUAUCCCUAUGUAUUGCAGAGUUGAGCCCUGCCAUCUAGGCUGCCUUUUGCUUCAUUUUGCUCCUGACCUAAACCCCCCUGCUAUUCCAGGCCUGGCCUCCUAUGACCAGAGACUGCUGACUCAUCCUGGCCUGUGCCAAGCUGUGCAGUCGCUUAGUGAUGUGGACAGGAGUCGAAGGACUAGAAUGAGAUCACUGAACUCAUUUCACUUGUUGCUUACGGUACAGUCCAGCAUGAGCUGGAAAUGUAGGAACCUCAGCCUCCCGAGCAGAAAGACAGGAGUUUUCUGUGGAAAAGCAGGAAAAGGGAAGUGGAGGAGGAAGGCAUCCUUCCAUAUCCUGUGAUAAACCCACCAAGGGUCACUACUUUCGGUAAGAGUCUGGAAAGAAACUGCCAGAGGACACAUCUGAACCUUGGUGAGAAACAGAUUUCAUGAUACCUUGAUUUUUAAUCUUUAAUAUAUGUGGAGAAUGAUUUAGGAGACUUUUCCCAUGUUUAUUUGUGCCUGUGCGUCCUCAUUUUGUUUUAUUUUGAAUUUGUAGUUAGGUAGUAUUUAUAUUUGAAC